rnacentral:rRNA from 1 species
UACGAAGGGGGGCUAGCGUUGCUCGGAAUCACUGGGCGUAAAGGGUGCGUAGGCGGGUCUUUAAGUCAGGGGUGAAAUCCUGGAGCUCAACUCCAGAACUGCCUUUGAUACUGAAGAUCUUGAGUUCGGGAGAGGUGAGUGGAACUGCGAGUGUAGAGGUGAAAUUCGUAGAUAUUCGCAAGAACACCAGUGGCGAAGGCGGCUCACUGGCCCGAUACUGACGCUGAGGUGCGAAAGCGUGGA